GUUUUUUUUUCAUAGAGCAAGUUAGAAUAGUAUUUUUUUUUAAGCAUUUUUGCGAAGUUUUACCAGAAAACAUUUUUAGAGACCAUUCCCAAGUAUGGCGAGUGUGAACAAGAAAAUUGCGUUGGAGAUAUCCUAAAAAGAGCACCGGAUAGUGAAGACGUCGGUGACAGUGAAAAACUAAACCUCAGUGGCAUUUUUUAAAAUAUUUUUUAGAUCUGUAAUUUGAAAUAUGUUUUAAUCUUGUGAAUACUUUUAA
rnacentral:lncRNA from 1 species